UACGUAGGGUGCGAGCGUUAAUCGGAAUUACUGGGCGUAAAGGGCGCGUAGGCGGCCUGUUAAGUCGAACGUGAAAUCCCCGGGCUCAACCCGGGAACUGCGUCCGAUACUGGCAGGCUUGAAUCCGGGAGAGGGAUGCGGAAUUCCCGGUGUAGAGGUGAAAUUCGUAGAUAUCGGGAGGAACACCAGUGGCGAAGGCGGCGAUCUGGGAAGAUACUGACGCUGAGGUGCGAAAGCGUGGGGAGCAAACAGG
rnacentral:rRNA from 1 species